GAUGAACGCUGGCGGCGUGCUUAACACAUGCAAGUCGAACGGUGAAAGCGGAGCUUGCUCCGCUGGAUCAGUGGCGAACGGGUGAGUAACACGUGGGCAACCUGCCCCUCACUUCGGGAUAACUCCGGGAAACCGGGGCUAAUACCGGAUAUGACCUCCUUGGGCAUCCUUGGAGGUGGAAAGUUUUUCGGUGAGGGAUGGGCCCGCGGCCUAUCAGCUUGUUGGUGAGGUAGUGGCUCACCAAGGCGACGACGGGUAGCCGGCCUGAGAGGGCGACCGGCCACACUGGGACUGAGACACGGCCCAGACUCCUACGGGAGGCAGCAGUGGGGAAUAUUGCGCAAUGGGCGAAAGCCUGACGCAGCAACGCCGCGUGCGGGAUGACGGCCUUAGGGUUGUAAAGCUCUUUCGUCCGGGACGAUAAUGACGGUACCGGAAGAAGAAGCCCCGGCUAACUUCGUGCCAGCCGCCGCAGUAA
rnacentral:rRNA from 1 species